rnacentral:rRNA from 1 species
UACGUAGGGGGCUAGCGUUGUCCGGAAUCAUUGGGCGUAAAGCGCGUGUAGGCGGCCCGGUAAGUCCGCUGUGAAAGUCGGGGGCUCAACCCUCGGAUGCCGGUGGAUACUGUCGGGCUCGAGUACGGAAGAGGCGAGUGGAAUUCCUGGUGUAGCGGUGAAAUGCGCAGAUAUCAGGAGGAACACCAAUUGCGAAGGCAGCUCGCUGGGACGUUACUGACGCUGAGACGCGAAGGCGUGGGGAGCAAACAGG